UGUGUGUGUGAGAGAGAGAGAGAGAGAGAGAGAGAGAGAGAGAGAGAGAGAGAGAGAGAGAGAGAGAGAGAGAGAGAGAGAGAGAGAAACUUGAUUUGUCUGUAUUGUAAUCAAGUGUCGUGACUUUAUCUCUCCUUCCCUGGUGUGACGGUUGUGUCAGUUCCUCUCAGGGUCACGUCUGUUGGCGGCGGUGUUGUGUUUCUGGCGGAGCGUCUCAUGUGCUGCAGCUCGCACGUGCCGGGGCAUCACAUGACAUCACACACCAGUGGGUGAGUGGGCGUGGGGCACACACAUGACUCUGGGCUGGACGCACACACCACACUUAUCGUGAAUGCGAGCCACUCACAGCGCCCCUCUCUAUCUCUCCCAAACACGUCCCAGUCACCACAACUUAUCGAGGUCACAGCAGACAACGCAGCGUCACAUCCUUAUUAAGCUGGCUGGACGACACGCGGGCGGGAGAUAGUGAGGCGCCCUCAACUCUUAUCGGUAGUGUGAGGAGGGGGCUAUCGCUCUCACUAUCAGUACAACAGCUCGUGCUAAACAGCCGCCACCACUCGGAAGCAGCGCCAACACAAGGCAGUCACUGUCCUGUCAAAACUAUAGCCGCGGUGCGCUCACAGGCAGCGGAAAGGGAGGCUGAGAGAGCGGCCGUGCAGCAGAUCCCUCCCGUGCGAGCGGCGAGAGCAGACUGGCGGUAGCGGGAGUGUAGUGGACGGCGGUGGUGGUGGUGGUAGUCCACAGCGGGACGUGGGAGGAACUCUGGGCGGCAGGGCGGGAGGCACGCCUCUAGUGGUGGUCGGCUACACUACUUACAACCUUCCUAGACUCUGCUCGGGUCUGUGCCUCGCUGUCUGCUCCUCUGCUGCUAAGAACACAUAAUGCUCCGUCCCUCCCGACCACCUCAACAUUGACGCCAGUGCCGCAAAGCCUCGCCUCGCCUCGCCUUGUGCCCUGCGUACACUGCCUUCAUUGCCCCACACUCUGCAGGACCUUCCUCAACCCAGUGCCGGGCCAGCAGUGCCGCCGCAACAAUCCUCUUAGUGCCUCAGUGCCGCCUGUCAUGCCUAUACACAAUCAGUUGGAUCCUCGCUGAGUGACACCCGCGGCCUCACCCGUCACCAAAACUAUCAGACCAUUUGGAUUGUUUUAGUAACGUUAUCUCAGCGCGCCUCAGAUCCUUAAACUAAUGGUAUUUACUUCCUGGACUCUGAUAACACUAAUGACGCAACUGAACGUCCCGCCGCCACAGCGACACCCCACCCACUCACCCUCCCCGCGCCUGUCUCCCCAUCAUGACAGAGCAGCGAGUAACAACACUGCGGCUCUUCACUUAUAUGUAUUCAGAUUUUGCUCAGAGUUUAGGUAAUGCACUGGGACUAAAUAAUGUAAUUGUGGCUUGUCCUUACUUGUUUGCUGCAACGGAGUAAUGAAAACAGUAUAAGCAAAACAUAUUGAUGCUAAAUUGAAGCUAUUCUUUCCACGCUAAAGGUAAUAAAACAUGCUCUCUCUC